AGCUGCUCACAAAUUUAUUUGAAUUUUCAACUCAAGAUGAAUUGAAACCCUUAUUAUGUUACAACUAAGUAUUAUAGUUAUUUUACUUUGAAGUAUUAGUUUUUUAUUAAACGCUAAAUAUCAAAUUUUAUGAGACUGAAUUCAGGCCUUGAAUGGCGUAUUCUUCGGACAUGAUUCACAUAAAAUACUCAAUACUCAAGCUUAUUAAUACAAGUGAAUUAAUAAAGAAUGCUUGUUGAAGCAAAGUAUUUGGCUUCAAAAUGAGUGCACGCAUGGCUUGUUAUUUUCAUUACAUGGUUGAAUUUUUAUUAUUUUAUAAAUAUUCGUUCAUCAUCGAAUUUAUUGACUGUCUGAUGAAACAUAUUAUUUUCAUAACAAAAUCACUGAUAAAACACAGGAAAUAUAAACCGGGUAUUUUCAUGCCUUGGCACUCACUAGCAAGUUGAAAUUAUCAGAAACUGAAUUAUUUUCUCACAUGAAUACCAAUAAUUUCUUCCAAAAUGAUAUUUAAGUUGAUGUUUUUUAUUUUAUUAUUCGUACUGUUGUCAAUCGUCGCAAAUGUCGAAGCUAUAGUCGGCGGCAGAGAGACGGGAAUAAAUGAAUAUCCACUUAUAGCGUCCAUGAUAGAAAUCGGUUCAAUUAAUAGUGGAACAGGUGGUUAUAUACAAAAAAUCAGGAUACCACCUUCAUUUACUGUGCAAGAGCAACAAUAAUAGCAGCACCUGUUCACUUGAGUCAAAUCGUUUCACUUAUUAAGAAAUAAAUUUUUAAAAUCUGAAAGUUUUGUCACUGGAAAAAAAAAAAAUUGUAAACAAGAAAAAUUAAAAAAUUU